rnacentral:rRNA from 1 species
AUUGAACGCUGGCGGCAGGCCUAACACAUGCAAGUCGAGCGAGCGGCGGACGGGUGAGUAAUGUCUGGGACACUGCCUGAUGGAGGGGGAUAACUACUGGAAACGGUAGCUACUACCGCAUACCAUCAGAUGUGCCCAGAUGGGCUUAGCUAGUGGGUGGGGUAACGGCUCACCUAGGCGACGAUCACGAGCUGGUCUGAGCGGAUGACCAGCAACAGUGGAAAUGAGACACGGUCCAGAAGCGUACGGGAGGAAGCAGUGGGGAAUAUUGGAAAAUGGGCGCAAGACUGAUGAAGCAAUGCCGGGUGUGUGAAGAAGGCCUUCGGGUUGAAAAGCACUUUCAGCGGGGAGGCGUUACCAGCAGAAGAAGCACCGGCUAACUACGUGCCAGCAGCCGCGGUAAUAC